UGGGGAAUUUUUGGACAAUGGGCGAAAGCCUGAUCCAGCAAUGCCGCGUGUGUGAAGAAGGCCUUCGGGUUGUAAAGCACUUUUGUCCGGAAAGAAAUCCUUGGCUCUAAUACAGUCGGGGGAUGACGGUACCGGAAGAAUAAGCACCGGCUAACUACGUGCCAGCAGCCGCGGUAAUACGUAGGGUGCAAGCGUUAAUCGGAAUUACUGGGCGUAAAGCGUGCGCAGGCGGUUUGCUAAGACCGAUGUGAAAUCCCCGGGCUCAACCUGGGAACUGCAUUGGUGACUGGCAGGCUAGAGUAUGGCAGAGGGGGGUAGAAUUCCACGUGUAGCAGUGAAAUGCGUAGAGAUGUGGAGGAAUACCGAUGGCGAAGGCAGCCCCCUGGGCCAAUACUGACGCUCAUGCACGAAAGCGUGGGGGAGCAAACAGGAUUAGAUAACCCCUGGUAGUCCACGCCCUAAACGAUGUCAACUAGUUGUUGGGGAUUCAUUUCCUUAGUAACGUAGCUAACGCGUGAAGUUGACUGCCUGGGGAGUACGGUCGCAAGAUUAAAACUCAAAGGAAUUGACGGGGUCAUAGCUGUUUCC
rnacentral:rRNA from 1 species